AUUGGAAGUAAAAGUCGUAACAAGGUUUCCGUAGGUGAACCUGCGGAAGGAUCAUUAUUGAAUGAACUUGACUUGGUUGCUGCUGGUCUUUUCAAAGGCAUGUGCACACCUUGUCAUCUUUAUAUCUCCACCUGUGCACCUUUUGUAGACCUGGAUUCAACAUUCCGAGGCAACUCGGUCGUGAGGAAUUGCUUCACAGCUUUCCUUGUAGGUUUCCAGGCCUAUGUUUUUCAUAUACACCAUAAGAAUGUAACAGAAUGUCAUUAUUAGACUUCAUUGUCUUAUAAACUAUAUACAACUUUCAGCAACGGAUCUCUUGGCUCUCGCAUCGAUGAAGAACGCAGCGAAAUGCGAUAAGUAAUGUGAAUUGCAGAAUUCAGUGAAUCAUCGAAUCUUUGAACGCACCUUGCGCUCCUUGGUAUUCCGAGGAGCAUGCCUGUUUGAGUGUCAUUAAAUUCUCAACCUUUGUCAACUUUUUUGGUUGACCAAUGGCUUGGAUGUGGGGGUUUUGCAGGUUUCUCUUUUGAAAUCAGCUCCCCUGAAAUGUAUUAGCUGGUUGCGUUGUGUAGACCUGUCUAUUGGUGUGAUAAUUAUCUACGCCGUGGACUGUUUGCCAUUUUAGCACUGCUUCUAACUGUCUGUUCAUUCAGACGAUAUAUGACAAUUGACCUCAAAUCAGGUAG
rnacentral:rRNA from 1 species